rnacentral:lncRNA from 1 species
CACCGUUUUCCUCCAAAGAGGCCAAUGAUGAUAAAACAAAAAAUAAAACGCGAGACACCAUCAUCAACGAAAACCACUUAAAGGCUAAAAAAAGUGUAAUACAAAACUUCACACCAAUCCCUUUCUUCCAUUUUAUGUUCCACUAUUAUCAACGAAAAAUACCACUUAAAUCAUUUUAAAAAGUUAAAUACGAAAUAUAACAUCAAUCCCCUUCAUCCAUCUCAUGUUCCACCAUCAUCGACGAAAAUCACAACAAAAAAUCAAACACGAGACACCAUCAUCAACGAAAACCACUUAAAGGCUAANAAAAAAAAAAGUGAAAUAGGAGACUUAACACCAAUCCCCUUCAUCCAUAUCAUAUUCUACCAUUAUCAACAAAAAUCACGACAAAAAAUGAAACACGAGACACCAUGACCAACGAAAACCACUUCAAUCAUUAAAAAAAGUGAAAGAAUCUGAUCGCCUUGACCGAUCAGAUCGCCGACGCCAUCAUCCCGAAUCUGAGCACCUUGAGAUUGAUGUGAGCCUCCAAUUUCAAACCCUGCACCACCAGCGAGGGGAAGAGAAAGAAGCUGAAUGACACCACCUCGAAGACCAGAGGGGUUCUCGAGGUUGUGCUGCCCCAGCGUCGUGAGGGAAAGGCCGACAAAGAUGGGGAAGAUGAAGAGCGAGUUCACGUUCACCGGGCCGUUCAGGGCGGUCACGUGGACGCUUGUGGUGGCGGCUGUCGGCCCUCCAACGAGCCACGCUGCAACUGCUCUAAAGCCAUAUUAUUGGGUUUAUAGGGUGAGCAAAAUAACUGAAAUCGAAUAUUCGAAUCAAUCCAAAACCGAAAUGUUCGAUUUUUCGAAUUUUUGGAUUAGUUCGGUUUUAUUUUUC